rnacentral:rRNA from 1 species
CAGUCGCCGCGGGAAUACGUAGGUCCCGAGCGUUGUCCGGAUUUAUUGGGCGUAAAGCGAGCGCAGGCGGUUAGAUAAGUCUGAAGUUAAUGGCUGUGGCUUAACCAUAGUACGCUUUGGAAACUGUUUAACUUGAGUGCAAGAGGGGAGAGUGGAAUUCCAUGUGUAGCGGUGAAAUGCGUAGAUAUAUGGAGGAACACCGGUGGCGAAAGCGGCUCUCUGGCUUGUAACUGACGCUGAGGCUCGAAAGCGUGGGGAGCAAGCAGGAUUAGAUACCCCCGUAGUCCCUGUCUCUUAUACA